rnacentral:rRNA from 1 species
UACAGAGGUCCCGAGCGUUGUUCGGAUUCACUGGGCGUAAAGGGUGCGCAGGUGGCAUGGUAAGUUUGAUGUGAAAGCCCCGGGCUUAACCCGGGAAUGGCAUUGAAUACUACUGUGCUGGAGGAUCGGAGGGGGGACUGGAAUUCUUGGUGUAGCAGUGAAAUGCGUAGAUAUCAAGAGGAACACCAGUGGCGAAGGCGGCCCCCUGGGCCGCGCCUGACGCUGAGGCGCGAAAGCUAGGGGAGCGAACGGG